rnacentral:rRNA from 1 species
ACGAACGCUGGCGGCGUGGAUAAGACAUGCAAGUCGAACGAGAGAAUUGCUAGCUUGCUAAUAAUUCUCUAGUGGCGCACGGGUGAGUAACACGUGAGUAACCUGCCCCCGAGAGCGGGAUAGCCCUGGGAAACUGGGAUUAAUACCGCAUAGUAUCGAAAGAUUAAAGCAGCAAUGCGCUUGGGGAUGGGCUCGCGGCCUAUUAGUUAGUUGGUGAGGUAACGGCUCACCAAGGCGAUGACGGGUAGCCGGUCUGAGAGGAUGUCCGGCCACACUGGAACUGAGACACGGUCCAGACACCUACGGGUGGCAGCAGUCGAGAAUCAUUCACAAUGGGGGAAACCCUGAUGGUGUGACGCCGCGUGGGGGAAUGAAGGUCUUCGGAUUGUAAACCCCUGUCAUGUGGGAGCAAAUUAAAAAGAUAGUACCACAAGAGGAAGAGACGGCUAACUCUGUGCCAGCAGCCGCGGUAAUACAGAGGUCUCAAGCGUUGUUCGGAAUCACUGGGCGUAAAGCGUGCGUAGGCUGUUUCGUAAGUCGUGUGUGAAAGGCGCGGGCUCAACCCGCGGACGGCACAUGAUACUGCGAGACUAGAGUAAUGGAGGGGGAACCGGAAUUCUCGGUGUAGCAGUGAAAUGCGUAGAUAUCGAGAGGAACACUCGUGGCGAAGGCGGGUUCCUGGACAUUAACUGACGCUGAGGCACGAAGGCCAGGGGAGCGAAAGGGAUUAGAUACCCCUGUAGUCCUGGCAGUAAACGGUGCACGCUUGGUGUGCGGGGAAUCGACCCCCUGCGUGCCGGAGCUAACGCGUUAAGCGUGCCGCCUGGGGAGUACGGUCGCAAGAUUAAAACUCAAAGAAAUUGACGGGGACCCGCACAAGCGGUGGAGUAUGUGGCUUAAUUCGAUGCAACGCGAAGAACCUUACCUGGGCUUGACAUGUAAUGAACAACAUGUGAAAGCGUGCGACUCUUCGGAGGCGUUACACAGGUGCUGCAUGGCCGUCGUCAGCUCGUGUCGUGAGAUGUUUGGUUAAGUCCAGCAACGAGCGCAACCCCUGUUGCCAGUUACCAGCACGUGAAGGUGGGGACUCUGGCGAGACUGCCCAGAUCAACUGGGAGGAAGGUGGGGACGACGUCAGGUCAGUAUGGCCCUUAUGCCCAGGGCUGCACACGUACUACAAUGCCCAGUACAGAGGGGGCCGAAGCCGCGAGGCGGAGGAAAUCCUGAAAACUGGGCCCAGUUCGGACUGUAGGCUGCAACCCGCCUACACGAAGCCGGAAUCGCUAGUAAUGGCGCAUCAGCUACGGCGCCGUGAAUACGUUCCCGGGUCUUGUACACACCGCCCGUCACAUCAUGGAAGCCGGUCGCACCCGAAGUAUCUGAAGCCAACCGCAAGGAGGCAGGGUCCUAAGGUGAGACUGGUAACUGGGAUG